UACGGGGGGAGCAAGCGUUGUUCGGAUUUACUGGGCGUAAAGGGCGCGUAGGCGGCGCGACAAGUCACUUGUGAAAUCUCCGGGCUUAACCCGGAGCGGCCAAGUGAUACUGUAGUGCUAGAGUGCGGAAGGGGCUACUGGAAUUCUCGGUGUAGCGGUGAAAUGCGUAGAUAUCUGGAGGAACACCGGUGGCGAAGGCGGCGUUCUGGACUGUCUCUGACACUGAAGAACGAAAGCCAGGGGAGCAAACGGG
rnacentral:rRNA from 1 species